AUAACUUUGCUGGAAACUGUGAGCCCAGUCUGUGCUCACCAGCAUACAAAAUCCAGGAGAAGAUUGAGUCUUUUGCAAUUGAGCAGGAUGAGGAAUCACACCAAUCAUUUGUAAAUGAAAGCAGCAGUCAUGAUGUUGUCAAUGAGAAUGAAUUUUAAAUAGGACAUGAUACAGGGCCACUUUUAAGUGAUGAAGCAGACGAGUAUGAUGAUGGUAAUGAUGAUGAAUCAUACCAUCCUUCAAGCGAUGAAAAAAGCUGUGA